ACCACCAUCUGUCUUAUUUUACAUGAACCUUUGAGAAAUUUGAAAUAAAUCUUACUGAAAUCAGUCUUGUUCACGGUUAGUAUUUCCGCGGUUUUCAUCAACGAAUUCGCUGAGUAACGAAUGUUUAAAACGAUGUAAAAGUGCACAGUGCGUGUAAAACAAUGUUCUAGCUAAUCUCGCUAGUUACAUUGACAAAUUUUCGCUUUCCUCGCCGUUCGCGCGAGUCGAAAAGUUAACCGCAUUUAUUUCCGCGGAGUGUCGAAAUUUGUACAUCAUACACGGUAUUUCGUUGUUGUUUUUCGUCGUUGUUAAAAGUAAAAAAUGCGUAUCGUGUUUAUAUCAAAUAUCGCGGACGCAUAUGUAUGAAAUGCGAUCGACAAAGGAAGUUGAGCGGACGAUGAAUAUUUUUCUGUCACAGAUACAACGGCAAGACGGAUAAUUCGAUCUGAUUUGUCAAGUACGUGUCAAUUUUCUAACUGGCUGUGGAAAACAUAUUUGGCUCUGUAGCACACAUAAAAGUCUACAUAAAAGUAACAUAAUGCCGUGUAGCAUCGGCCUACGCUAUGCAAAGGAACAAUUCUCGGAACGGCUUGGCUCUAUGGAUUCCUAGAAAUCGUGAAAUAUGUUGUGUUUACAAACAUCGGCAAUGUAGUGAAGUUGAGCGGACGAUGAAUAUUUUUCUAUCACAGAUACAACAGCGUCGGAUAAUCGGUUAGAUUUGUCAAGCACGUAUUCGAUUUUCUAACUGGCUGUGGAAAACAUAUUUGACUCUGUAGCCACAUAAAAGUCUACAUAAAAGAAACAUAAUAGUGCCGCACGGCAUCGGCUUGUGCUGCGGUAGUAAACAAUUCUCGGAAUACCUCGGCUUUGUAUACAGAUUCCUAGAAAUAGUGAAAUACAUUGUGUUUAUAAACAUCGGCAAUGUAGGGACAAUUUGUCGCGUUCCUAUCCAUAUGUUAGUUAGCGCUCACAGAUGUCGCAGCGUUCGUUAAAAGUUCUGUUCCUACGGGGAUUACACGAAUCUCAACACGGGCGCGCCAGACGCUCUCUUCGCGAUAUUACGUCUUCAUUUCUGAUUUUGCUAGUUCAAACUAAGUACGCGAGGUAACAAAUAUUUGGUAGUGCUCCAAUGCGAUAGCGUCGCGCGAAAGUGAUUGUGUGUAAAACAGCGCGUGUUGUGAUCAAACUCGUUCGCGGAUACAUUGACAAAUUUUCACGAUCGCCGGCUUUCACGUUUUUCGUCGUGCGCAUUCGAAUCGAGAAGUUAACCGCAUCUGUUUCGCGUAGUACCGAAUGGCGAAUUUGAGCAUCGUACGCCGACGUUGCUAUUGUUAGCGUAAUUAGCGGUGAGAAGCCCAUAUCGUGUCUAUAUCAAAUAUUACAAGCGUGGAUAGGAUUUAGCAAACAAGGUAAGCCGAGCGGCCGAAUCCUUAGUUUCUACUACGCGGAUAUAAUGGCGGGGCAUCCGAUAAUUUGAUCAGAUUUAUCAAGUAUCCAAUCUCGUAGCUUUUCAUCGUAGAAAACGUUUUAUCUUGUAAUGCACACAAAAGCCGUGUUAUCUAGAAACAUUGCAUGGCUCCGGCCGAACGAUCUAUACAAGUACAUUUCUCAGCACGGAUUCCUGGAAAUACAUAAAUUUUAAAGAUAUCGGUAAUUUAGGGAUGAUAUAUUGUGUACUUAUCCAAAUAUAAAUUAGCACAUACAGGUGUCGCGGCGUUCGUUAAAAGUGUAAGUUUCCUUAGCGUAUGCUCAGUCAGGAAGUAGAAUCGCUGAAGGCGUUAAUUUACGGGAUCAAGGACGAGUUCGAUAAUAAUAUUAAUAUUUAAAUUAAUAAUGUCUUUUUAAGAUCUUCACCAGAGAUCAUACAUUUAUUUCAAUUAAAAAGUUCUCUCUUAUCCGCGAAAUACGUGAUUUCCAGAUAUACAUAAAUAUAUAUUGUCCACUUAGCUUAUGCUACUCGUUAACUCGCUUUAGUUUCUCUUAAAGCCCUUGUUCGGUAUCAGGCCUCAAUAUUCGCUUCUCUCCUUGUUCGGCACACCAAGUCUUUUUGUCCAUAAAUCGGCAAUCUCGCCUGACUCCCUUUACUACUCCUCUUCCAAUAUCUUUACGUUCACCACUCUGUAUUAUGCACUUACUAUUUCAACUUCCGACCACGGAAAAAGCCCCGCGUACUUCGUUACCUCUCUUUUAUUCUCUUCUCCCUUGACCCUACUCGAAGAUUUUUCCCUUAUCCACCAAUCCAAAUUCGCCAGGCACCGUCCGGUGGCCAGUGCCCCCUUUUCUGCUUAUUUCGCUACGUUCCUAAUUGUUUCUGAUCAGUUACUUUACCCUCUUUACCGACUAUCGGCAAUUCGUCUCCUAAUUUUCUUACAAAAGUUUCAAUCUCAUGUGGGGAUUAUACAAAUCUCGGCACGACUUCGUGCGUUGGCAGAUGCUCCUCGCAGUGUCAUGUCGUUUAUCGUUGAUUUUAUUCGUACGGGAGUGAAUAAGUGUUCGAUGAUUUUUACGCGCGAUCGAGUUUGCUCGCGGAUACGUCGACGAAUUUUCGUGAUUGCUGCUUUCGUGCUUUUCACCGGACGUAUAGCCGAGUCGCGAAGUUAAUUUGUGCGGAAAACCGAGAUUUGAUCGUCAAUGACUUUUUAGGCAAUAUUCUUCGUCGUUAUUAAAAGUGACAAGUAUGUAUCGUGCAUCAAGUGUCGCGUGUGAAUGUGUUUCAAGUGCAGUCAACGAAGGAAGCGGCAACAGCGGCGAAUGGAUUUUCAGAAUAUCCAACGAUAAAAUGGAUCCUUGGUCUAUGCCAUCUUCAGAUAAGGGCGCACCUCGCGUUUCCUUUCGCCUAUGGAUUCCUCUUUGAGCAAUUUGAAGAGCGGAAAACCUUUCUCACAAAGGGAUACGUGUCUGUCUAAAAAAUGAUGGCAGCGAUCGAGUCUUCUUCAGAGGGAUACAUUAAUCGGACUUUUCGAAUCGGAUUACAUUGUAUUAGGCUGCACGAUUCUUAAG